rnacentral:rRNA from 1 species
AAAUUGAAGAGUUUGAUCAUGGCUCAGAUUGAACGCUGGCGGCAGGCCUAACACAUGCAAGUCGAACGGUAACAGGAAACAGCUUGCUGCUUUCGCUGACGAGUGGCGGACGGGUGAGUAAUGUCUGGGAAACUGCCUGAUGGAGGGGGAUAACUACUGGAAACGGUAGCUAAUACCGCAUAACGUCGCAAGACCAAAGAGGGGGACCUUCGGGCCUCUUGCCAUCGGAUGUGCCCAGAUGGGAUUAGCUAGUAGGUGGGGUAACGGCUCACCUAGGCGACGAUCCCUAGCUGGUCUGAGAGGAUGACCAGCCACACUGGAACUGAGACACGGUCCAGACUCCUACGGGAGGCAGCAGUGGGGAAUAUUGCACAAUGGGCGCAAGCCUGAUGCAGCCAUGCCGCGUGUAUGAAGAAGGCCUUCGGGUUGUAAAGUACUUUCAGCGGGGAGGAAGGGAGUAAAGUUAAUACCUUUGCUCAUUGACGUUACCCGCAGAAGAAGCACCGGCUAACUCCGUGCCAGCAGCCGCGGUAAUACGGAGGGUGCAAGCGUUAAUCGGAAUUACUGGGCGUAAAGCGCACGCAGGCGGUUUGUUAAGUCAGAUGUGAAAUCCCCGGGCUCAACCUGGGAACUGCAUCUGAUACUGGCAAGCUUGAGUCUCGUAGAGGGGGGUAGAAUUCCAGGUGUAGCGGUGAAAUGCGUAGAGAUCUGGAGGAAUACCGGUGGCGAAGGCGGCCCCCUGGACGAAGACUGACGCUCAGGUGCGAAAGCGUGGGGAGCAAACAGGAUUAGAUACCCUGGUAGUCCACGCCGUAAACGAUGUCGACUUGGAGGUUGUGCCCUUGAGGCGUGGCUUCCGGAGCUAACGCGUUAAGUCGACCGCCUGGGGAGUACGGCCGCAAGGUUAAAACUCAAAUGAAUUGACGGGGGCCCGCACAAGCGGUGGAGCAUGUGGUUUAAUUCGAUGCAACGCGAAGAACCUUACCUGGUCUUGACAUCCACGGAAGUUUUCAGAGAUGAGAAUGUGCCUUCGGGAACCGUGAGACAGGUGCUGCAUGGCUGUCGUCAGCUCGUGUUGUGAAAUGUUGGGUUAAGUCCCGCAACGAGCGCAACCCUUAUCCUUUGUUGCCAGCGGUCCGGCCGGGAACUCAAAGGAGACUGCCAGUGAUAAACUGGAGGAAGGUGGGGAUGACGUCAAGUCAUCAUGGCCCUUACGACCAGGGCUACACACGUGCUACAAUGGCGCAUACAAAGAGAAGCGACCUCGCGAGAGCAAGCGGACCUCAUAAAGUGCGUCGUAGUCCGGAUUGGAGUCUGCAACUCGACUCCAUGAAGUCGGAAUCGCUAGUAAUCGUGGAUCAGAAUGCCACGGUGAAUACGUUCCCGGGCCUUGUACACACCGCCCGUCACACCAUGGGAGUGGGUUGCAAAAGAAGUAGGUAGCUUAACCUUCGGGAGGGCGCUUACCACUUUGUGAUUCAUGACUGGGGUGAAGUCGUAACAAGGUAACCGUAGGGGAACCUGCGGUUGGAUCACCUCCUUACCUUAAAGAAGC